GUGAAAUUUUGACAAUAUCUCCCUUACUGUAUGUACAGUAUAUAAUAAUUAUUAAAAAAACAAUUACUGUAAAUCACCAAAAUGUUUUUUUUACUGUUCCAAAGGUUGUAGUACGUUUGUAGUUACAAGACUUACUUACUACAGGUGAAAUUUUGCCAUUACCUCCCUUACUGUAUGUACAGUAUAUAAUAAUUAUUUAAAAACAAUUACUGUAAAUCACCAAAAGGUUUUUUUCAUGUUCCAAAGGUUGUAGUAAGUUUGUUUUUUCAAGACUGACUUACUACAGGUGAAUGUUUGCCAAUAUCUCCCUUACUGUACGUACAGUACAUAAUAAUUCUUUUUAAAAAAUACUGUAAAUUACCAAAAGGGUUUUUUCAUGUUACAAAGGUUGUAGUACACUUGUAGUUACAAGACUGACUUGCUACAGGUGAGAUUUUGCCAUUACCACACUUACUCUAUAUACUGUAUACUGUCUACUGGUCACUACUGAAUAUUUGUUUGGUAAAUACAUUAGCCACGAGUAGGUAUUGGAACUGCUGUUGUUUCUACAACAUAUUUUCUUAAUCGAUACAUAAAACAAAAACAAUACACAAAAGAUUAUUUUUUUAAUUCAAAAAUUAAAACACAUUCUCACCGUUAUAACAUCCUUUUCAAAUCUUAAAGUGCAAAAUGACACAUACUUUUUCACAAAGUUUAAGUUACCUUUCAAAUGUCAAUAUUGUAACACAUUACCAAUAUUUAAGUGGACUUUUUUUAAACUAGACACACAUUGUGCAAUACCACUGGGCAUCCUUUCCAAGUAUAUUGUCCUGAGACAGUCCAAGGCAGCAUGCAUGGAACCAUCGUUGGCACUGUUCACACUGUAUCUUCAAAAG
ensembl:lncRNA